rnacentral:misc_RNA from 1 species
UAUUAGCCGAGCCUCACAUCCUCCUGUAUUUUUUCAAUGAACUUCACAUCCUGUGUUUUAUAAACAACCAUGGCACCAAAAUUUAGAGCAAGUUAAAAUUUUAUUACAAGAAGUGAAACUAGGAGAGAACUUUACCUUACCAUUCAUUUUCGAAAGAAGUCAGGACUUUACCCAAGAAAUGUAUCAAAAGAUUGAAAAAAUG